UGAACAUUUUUUUUUCUUUUGUCAUUUCUUUUGAUAUGGCUGUAAAUGUUUUAAUUAUAUAUUAACUAUAAGCUUGUAUUGCAACUUAAUGAACCAGGGGGAAAAUGUGUUUAUAAUCCCUUAUUUAAUUAUGGUACUUGAUUAAGGUUUGCUUAAGCAUUGCUCAUUUAAAAAAAAUAAUUUUAUUGCAGUAGAACUGAUGACUUCAAAAAUAGAUUUUUAAAAUAGUCUAUAUGUAGAGAUGGUAUAAAAUGAAAAGCUAAAUACUUCAUAAACUGAAGUAUCACCAUCUUGAAUAUCAAGGAAAGGACACACCUUGGAGACUGGUCUGAAGUGCAGGGCAAAAAUCAGGCUCUUGGGACUUCCCUAGUUGUGCAGUGGUUAAGAAUCCACCUGCCAUUGCAGGGGCACAGGUUCGAUCCCACAUGCCAUGGAGCAACUAAGCCCAUAUGCCACAACUACUGAGCCCGCGCGCUACAACUACUGAAGCCUGCACACUGUAGAGCCCAUGCACCACAACUAGUGAGCCCACACACUGCAACUACCGAAGCCUGCGUGCCUGGAGUCCAUGCUCCGCAGCAAGAGAAGCCACCGCAAUGAGAAGCCUGCACGCUGUAACGAAGAGUAGCCCCCGCUCACCUCAACUAGAGAAAGCCCGCGUGCAGCAAUGAAGACCCAACGUGGCCAAAAAAAAAAAAAAAAAAAAUCAGCCUCUUAAGCGUUAAAUCUAUAAAACAGAAACCGUAAGGCAACAGCUUUGUGGCAGUGUUAAAAUUAGGUAAGCUUGCUAAGGUCAGUAAGUAGAAAUUCUCAUCUAUUAAUGCAAAUUAUAAUACUGUAGGAAUACUCAGCUGGCCAGAUACCUGAAGCAUGUCGAAGGAAGGACUCUAAUAAAAACUAAACACCUUAUGUUUAUAUGGCACUCUUAAGAUUUUCAAACAUCUUUCAUUUACAUUAAUCUGAUUUGAUCGUUGCAAACUACCCCAUACUGCAGGAAGGCCAGAUAUCAUUCUUCCCCUUGAGACUCACAGAGGUUCUAGGUUAUAUGGCUGCAAAGUGGCAGGAAAGAGACCAGACCAGAUGGGCUUUCUUCUGCAUCAUAAUCAGUCCAGCUUCUUUGUUGGGUGCCUGGGAUGCACAGCCAGGGUACAGGGGUGGGUGGAGGAGAACAGUGGACAAAACACAAAUCAUGGCCAUUCUUUCUAACUGGCCCACCUCAAAGAAAACUAGAGUCAGUUCAAAAUGGCAUUGCCUAUUUUGAUUUUGAGACUUGGCAUCAUAUAAAUGUGCAGGCCUGCCCAGAACUGGUAAAGGCAGAAGAAAAAAAGAGAAGGAAUGAACACUUCAACACAAUUUACAGGCUACUGCCUUUCUCACCAGCAAAAAAAGUCUCCCAAGUCUGGAGGAAUGGAAGUGGAGGAGGGUGAGGGAAGGAGCGCCACUGGUGACAGGUUUUAUCCCAAGAGAAGGGAAUCACACCCUUGGAGCUGUGAAAAAUGAAUCAUGUCUUUUCUAUCAAGACUUCACACAGAUUUUCUGGGAAACUUGUCAUUGAGGAUACAAUAGAGACAACUGUCCUUUUUGGUAGUGUAGCAUUUUCUGGAGGGAACUGUGUAAAUCAUUCUGGGGAUUAAACAGCAAAUUAAAAUGAAGAUUAAAGGUGUGUCCUGUGGCUUUUGUGGGCUGUGUUCACCUUUUCUGGAGGUCAGUACAUCCAUCUAAUUGAAAGAGAAAAUGUCACAUUUAGUUGCAAGAGUGUAAAGGGGUGACGUUUCUCGUCCCACCUUUCAUGCUAGGAUCAAGGUCUUCUCUUCAAAAGAGCAGUAAAGAGCAUCUAUGCAGCACCUUUCGGUUUACAAGGCACUUCCAUGGGCAUCGUUAUACUUAAGCGUCACUAAAGCAGAUUUAUGGGGCCUGUCUUCUAGGUGAGAUAGCUUAAGGCCACAGCUGAGGGCACACAUUAGUGGGCUUCUAGCUCAAAGCCUACACUCCACUUCAUCACAAGGUGGAUCCACUCAGUCUGUAGACAGGGGCAGAGUGAUUGAUGUGCUUUCUUGUUGGCACCACGUUAAGAAGAUGAACAACCAUCUCAAUUUGCCUGAGACUGAAGCGUUUUCCAGGACAUGGGACAGUCCUGGGCAAAUUGGGACAACUGGUCACCUUACAUAUUAUGUCUCCAGAAGUCCUCAUAGGAGAUUCUUCAAGAGUCACAAUGAGUGCUAAGAUGUUUUAGGAGGACACAGCUAUAUAUGCAUGGGAUUGGCAUAUCAUUUCCUCCUACUCAAUAUUUGCAAGCAUUUUAAAAUUUAACAUUUUGCUGUUCUCCGAAGAUCGUCAUUUUGACCACUUUUUCUCCCUCAUUUUUUCUUCCUUGUUGUCUCAGAUCCCAAGGGGUGUAUGGGGAGGAGGGAUGGAAACAGGGAAAAAGUAAGUAAAGAAAGACAUUGGCUCCCAUUUUUAAAAUGUGGUUUUGGUUACAGUUUGUUGAGGACUAAUUUGUAAUAGUAAUUCUCAAACUUGAAUAUGUUGGUAGACAGCCUCUAAGACGGUCCCCAGUGAUUCCUGCAUCUUGGUGUGGAUGAUCUUGUGUAAUUCUCUUCCCUUGAGUUUACUGUGGAUUUGGAUUUGUCUUGCGGAGUCUGUGUGUGUGUGUGUCUGUCUGUCUGUCUGUCUCUCUCUCUCUCUCUCACCCCUAGCUCUGGGAAAAGCCAGCAGCCCAUGUGGUGAAGAACUGAGGUUUCCAGCUAAUAGCCAGAAAGGACCUGAGCUUGGCAGCAGAUUCUCCAGCACCAGUGCAGUCUAGAGAUGUUUGCAGCCUGAACCAACACCUUGAUUUCAGCAUCACGAGAGACGCUUAGCCAGAAUCACAAAGCUAAAUCAAUCCCAAAUUCCUGACCCAUAUGAACUGUGAGAUAAUCAAUGUUGGUUGUUUUCAGCCUCUGUGUUUUAGGGAGAUUUGUGUGGAAGUGAUAAACUAGUACAAAUGUGCAUCAGAAUCACCUAGAUAACAACUCGAUAAAAUGUAUAUUUCUGGGUCUUACCCCUGGAAAUUUUAUUCAGUAGAUGUGGCCUGAAGUUUCUGCUUUUUCAUCAGGAAUCCCAGGAGACUCAGAACUGAACAAAUACCUGCUUGAGAGCACAUAGCAAGAAAAAACACUCCCUGUGAAGACUGUAAAGGGAGAUGAUGAAACUCAGGUCCAGACAGGUGAGGGCUUGCUCAGGAUCCCACCUCCUUUUCUGGAUCCCCCAGUCCUGCCACCAAGACACCACCACUGCUAUCACCACCACCACCAAGGCGGGCACCUAAACAUUUUGUAAAUGAAUGAAAGCGCUACAGUCCCGACUCCUGAGAGAAGAACUAAUAAUUAUGUACAAAGGCAAGUCUGGGUUUGAAAUUAAUGACUGUGGGAUUCUAAGAUGAUUUUGAGAUAAAGUGAAUAAUUUACAUUAAUUUGCAUUGCAGUAGACAACACUGCUUAGGAAUAACUGCUCUGUUGAAUUUAGGAGACAAAGAUCAAGUCUGUUAUUUUAGUUCAUGGCCUCGGGGAGCUUGGAUAGGGGACCGGGCAGCGAGGAGUUUGAAGGUUUUAAUGCUUACUGUGCAGAAAUAUGAUUUUUUCUGAAAUAGAUUAGCUUUUAAGGAUGUAGUAACAUUGGUUAAGUACUUGGUAUGUAUUUUGCCUGUGUUUACUUUUUUAAUCAUCAUGAAAACCUUAGGCAAUAGGUGCUAGAAUUAUGCCCAUUUUAUAGAUUAGAAAACUAAGACCAGAGAGUAACUUAUUCAAGGUCAAGUAGCUAAUAAAUGGCAUCACCAGUUCCAAACCUUGGAAUCUGGCUGCAGAGCCUUGCUCUUACCCACUAUAUUCUACUGCCUUGAGAGAGUUAAAGUACCAAACCCAAGACACCAGGAACUAUUUUGACAUUCCUUAUGAGCAUAUAGUUUUCAUCACAUUACUAUUCCAAGGUUAAAUGUAUGGAGCUGAAUCCUGUGGUCCCUAAUGCUCUCAUCCAGCUGCCUCCACCAUACUGUUGGUCUGGAAAUUCCCUGGAAACAUAGGUGGGGAUUUUUUUUAUAUAUAAUCUCCAGUAUUCACCCCUUACUUUACACUGCUGGAUGAAAAUCAGAACCCAGCUCUGCUUUUCAUUUCCACAAAUGGCUUAAGAGACCAGUACCAGGCUCAGUAGUAUAGAUUUUUCAAAAGGACACUUUACAUGAACCCAUCCCCAAGAACCCACCAAUACCAGCUUAAAAGGAGCAGGAUAUUUCAGUGAGGAGGCUAAUGAAGAGAUGCGAUGAGACCCAAUCUAUUCCAUUUUUUCCCUGGGGGUAUAAGGAGACACCUAGAUCUUAAUCUCCUUUCUCGUCAUUUUGAUUCAGAGAUGAUGGCACUAGGGCUUCUUAGAACAAGGUAAGUUACAUGAUAAGUCUUCAGAAAUCUAUAAUAAACUCAAUAGAAGUAAAUGCAUGGAGAAAGAGGCACUUACCAGUAAUUUAAUUUGAAUAAGUGAAUGCUUUGAUAUCCUUUUUACGCACAAGGAGGCAUACUACAUACUACACCUGCUAUACGCUCUAUACCCACUCCUCUGCACCUUUUACACUUAACGUGUCUCGUAGCACAUUCCUUAUUCAAUAUUAUCACUUAAAAAUUUACCUCAUUCUUUCUCAUGACGUCAUAAAAUUUCAUUUUUGGAUGUAUCAGAAUUUAUUUAACCAUCAUCUAUUAAAGAACAUUGUAAUUGCAUCUAAUUCUAUGCUCUUACAAAUAAUGCUGAAAGAAAUGUUUAUACACACGGGUGUAUUUUUGUUUUGGCUUGGUUUUGUUGUCAUUAUUAUCCAUGGGGCUGGGGUUGGGGGGGAAUCCUAGGAGUGGAACUGUUAGGUCAAAGGAUAUUUGUAUUUAAAUUUUAAUCACUGUUUCCAAAUUAUCCUACAAAAAGUUUGUACCAACUUGCUCUCAGUGAGAAGGAAUUUGAAAGGCUGGGUCUAGCACCCUUGUUACUUGACUAGACUUUCAUAUAAAAUACAGCUUUGCUGUGUGGUAUGACAGGUAAGUCAGAUGAUGGUGAAUAGUAAUAGGAAAUGGAAUGGGCUCAUUUAUCAAAAUAUUUUUAAUUGCUUAGUGGUCAGCAGGGUGGACCCCGGCAGUGACACUCUCAUGCAAAGAAGAAGGAUCAGGUGUGGUUUUCGUGUCUGGUAACUGGCAAGUGGUCACUAGUGCAGGAUAUUUACCAUAUUUCACUGGGACCUCCUAACACCAUACUCUUCUGUCUACACCCAGGUUGGUAAAGGGAAUAUAUAUGAUGCAAGCUUGUACACGUUCCUGAUUACAUCAGAUAAGCACAUAGAACUCAUCUCUAUAAAAUCCAUUCCUCUCUGAAAUGUACAUCUUUUUUUUUAACCAUUUUUUAAAUUGAAGUAUAGUUAAUUUACAAUGUUUGUUAGUUUCAGGUGUACAGCAAAGUGAUUCAGUGUAUAUAUAUAUAUAUAUAUAUAUAUAUAUAUAUACACACACAUACACACACACACACACACACACACACACACACACACACACAUAUAUAUUCUUUUCCAGAUCCUUUUCCAUUAUAGGUUAUUACAAGAUAUUGAAUACAGUUUCCUGUGCUAUAUAGUAGAUCCUUAUUGUUUAUCUAUUUUAUAUAUAGUAUUGUUUAUAUGUUAAUCACAAACUUCUAAUUAUCUCCCCCCUUUCCCUUUGAUAACCAUGUUUGUGUUCUAUGUCUGUGAGUCUAUUUCUAUUUCAUAAAUAAGUUCAUUUGUAUCAUUUUUUUUAGAUUCCACAUAUAAAUGAUAUCAUAUGUUUGUCUUUCUCUGUCUGACUUACUUCACUUAGUAUGAUACUCUCUAGGUCCAUCCAUGUUGCUGCAAAUGGCAUUAUUUCAUUCCUUUUUACGGCUGAGUAAUAUUCCAUUGUAUAUUUAUAUAUCACACCUUCUUUAUACGUUCAUCUGUUGAUGGAUAUUUAGGUUGCUUCCAUGUCUUGGCUAGUGUAAAUAGUGCUGCUGUGAACAUUGGGGUACAUGUAUCUUUUCAAAUUAGAGUUUUUCUCUGGAUAUAUGCCCAGGAGUGGGAUUGCUGGAUCAUACGGCAACUCCAUUUUCAGUUUUUUAAGGAAUCUCCAUACUGUUCCGUGUAAGUUCCAUCCUCAUCCUUCAUUACUAAGAAUGGUAACAAGUCACCUGCAUUACUAACCUAGUCUGCACCUCUCAGGGUACCAGCAGGUGGUGCCUAGCCUAAUCAAAACUCAUAUUUAGAUGCUAGAAAAUAAGUUUCCUGUUGCACCAGGCCCAGAGCAUUCUAUUACAAGAUAUGCUGAGUGUCUACCCCACAUCCACUCCUGGGCCAGGCACUGUGGGAGACAUGAAAGAAAUAGAAAGCGUUGGACCCAGGCAGAUUGUUGCAGAAAAGAGUAGUUGCAGAGAAUAGCUGGGAAGCUGUUUCUGCUAUUCAGGAAGGAGAUGGUAAAGGCCUGGACUAGGCAGCGCUGGCAAAAGCAGGAGAGAAGCAGCAGUUAGGGCGUCACCAAAGAAAGCAUAAAUCAGGCUGAGCAUCACUGCAGAGUGCAAAGAGCACGGGCUGGGUCUGAUCUCUACCUCACAGCUGCGUGGCCCCAAAUCGUUCUGAACCUCAGUUUUUCACCUGUGAAAUUAGAACAGUAACACCGUCCCCACCUCACUGGAUUAUUGAGAAGAACCAUGAGUUAGCAUCCAGCCCCUGGUCUAUCUCAUCGUGAGUUCAACGUGAUGGUGGGAUAGUCAUGCUGAUGGCUGGAAACCCAAGGGCUGAGAGCUGGCAACGGAGGACAGGAAGGCAGGAGGCCUGAGCUGGGAGAGGCCGGGGUCGUUCAGGCCGCAUGUGACUCUGAAUUCCUAGAAGAGGCUGCAGCAGCCGUGGCUAAGGUGAGCAAGCAAACCUGAGACUGCUGGGCUCAGGAAUGAAGGCCCUAAGGAUGAAGCUGACACAUCCCUGACCAGACCACGUGGAACCCAUGGAAAAUUAGACCUGAAGUUAACAGCACCCACGCCAGUCUCCUGGGUGCUUGGUUAGAGAUUUUCAUCCAUUUUUGAGUUGACAAGAGCAGGGAGACUGGUGUCAGAACCCACUGCUUCUGCUUCACUGUACAUCAGAGUGUGUCUGUGGGUCCCCUGGAUGGUUAAGUUCAUGGAAAUAGGUGUAUUUUAUUCGACUAUGUAUAUCAAACAGGUUUCCUGCUGAGCUAGAGCCAAAAACAGACAAAAAAAUCAUUCUAUUCACAUUUACUGAGUUCCUCCCAGAGGCCAAGGGCCUGACAGGCACAAGGCUCUCUGUGUUUGUAGAACUGGCAUUGAAGGAGGUCAUGGGAAACUGAGAGAGAGAAAGAAGUGACCAGACCAUCUGCCAGGAGCUUCUGGUGAUAAGCUGGCUGGCACGAGGCUGAAUCUUUUUUUUUUUUUUUUUUAACUUUUUGGCCAUACCGCGGGGCACGUGGGAUCUUAGUUCCUGGACAGGGACCGAACCUGCGCCCCCUACAGUGGAAGGGCAGAGUCUUAACUGCUGGACCGCCAGCGAAGUCCCAAGGCUGGAUCUUGAUUACACCACUGGUCUCAGAGCUGCAGAACGUUCCAUCAUGUGUGUGGAUAUAUUUAGUAGUAGUUUAUUCAACCAGUUUCCUAUUCAUGGCCACUAGGGUUGUAACUAGUCCUUUGCUGUUACAAGAGUGCAGCAGUGAACACACCUGUGCACGUUUUUCAUAUUUUGCCAGCAUGUCUUCGGGAGAGACUCCUAGGGUACUCCCCUGCUGCGGCCCCAUCCCCACGACUGUUCUGGUGCCCUCAGCCUGGGCAUGGGAUGCUGGAAUGCUAACUCCAGCCUCCACACCUCCUUUCCAUUCGAUUGAUUGGCCAGGCCGGUAGAAACAGCAACAGGAAGGCGGUCUCCCUUCAUUUUUGUCCGCCAGUCUCAUACCACAGCAUCUUACUGGGGGGAACGUGAUUCAUAACCAGAACUCUAGCUGGAAAGGAAUCUGAGAAGGGCAGUUUUCUGCUUUCUUGUCUCUACCGCACAGGACAGCUCGAAGAAGUGGGUUGGGUGCCAGUCACCACAUCCAGCUCCCCACUUAACUCCUUUGUUUCACAGAAGAGGAAAUUGAGGUUUGGGAGGGGUGUGUUAUUAGCUGAAGAUCACUAAACUGGUUCGUGGCUAACAGCCUGGCCAUUUCCUCCUCACGUCCCUGCCGAUGGGAGUCCUUGUGAGUUGGAGUUUCACUGAAUCAAAUAACUUAAAAAGGCAGAAGCCACUCCAUAUGCUAUGAACUUGUACUUUUCUUUGUAAAACAAAACAACCGUUACCCAAGCCUCCUUUUGGAGGUAUUAUAAUCAUUUAGCAACUGUUAUGGUUUGACUUGUGUCCCCCUAAAUUUAUAUGUUGAAGUCCUAACCCCCAGUUCCUUAGAAUGUGACCAACCAGUUUGGAAACCGGGUCUUUAAAGAGGUAAUUAAGUUAAAAUGAGGUCUUUAGGAUGGGCCCUAGUCCAACACAACUAGUGUCCUUAUAAAAAGAGAUCUGGCCACAGACAGGCAGAGGAAGAUGAUGUGAAGACACAGGGAGAAGGCGGUUGUCUGCAAGGCAAGGAGAGAGGCCUCAGAGGAAACCAACCCUGCCCGCACCUUGGCCUUGGACUUCUAGCCUCCAUUAUAGUGAGAAAAUAAAUUUCUGUUGUUUAAGCCA